CAAGAAUCUAGGAGGGUAGAGGAAAAAUUGUUUUUCUUCCCCUACAUAACCAAAUAACCUUACAUUCUCUUUAAUGAAGAAAAGUCAACAUCCAGUUUUCCGGAGAUAUAAUUGUCAUGCAGCGCUGUAUACAUUUACGGCAUACAGCAUGAUGACGUGACUUACAUACAUCAUGAAAUGACGAUCACAGAUGUCAACUACCUACAGAAGUUUUCCUGAGACUGUUUUUGUUCCAGAGCAGCGGGAGAGAAGACAGCAAUUGUGUAGUGGAAUGUUGAAGGCUGAUUUUGGACUCAGGAGUCAGGAGAGCUAAACGUGACUUUUAUUGGCUUUGACAUAAAUUUAUAAUUUGAUAUUGUUAAAGUCGUUUGCUGUUCCUAGGUUUCAUUUCUGAUUCUCUUCGUGAAAUACUGGGAUGCACACUGAACUCAAAACACCUUUUGAGAUUUUUAUGUGUUCCAGCA